AUGUCAUCGCUCUCCUCAACGCCACGUGAUUGGUUGGCUGUGAUGACGUCAUCACCUAUGACGUCAUCGUCACCGGGCUCAUCCUCCAAUGGGGGGGCUGUCACUGUGAUGGUGAUGCCACCAGCGUCACCAUCCAAUAUGGCCGCCAUGAUGGGGACGUCCUGGUCCAAUAUGGCCGCCGUGUUGGACACUUCCUGGUCCAAUAUGGCCGCCGUGUUGGGGACAUCUUUAUCUUCAUUGGCCGCCAUGAUGGGGACAUCUUGGUCCAAUAUGGCCGCCGUGUUGGACACUUCCUGGUCCAAUAUGGCCGCUGUGUUGGGGACAUCAUGGUCCAAUAUGGCCGCCAUUAUAGGGACAUCAUGGUCCAAUAUGGCCGCCAUGAUGGAGACAUCUUGGUCCGCCAUGUUGGAUGGGAUCUCCUUGUCCCCAAUGUCCCUUAAGGUCUUGAUGUCCCCAUUAUCCCCAUUACCCCCAUUGUCCCCAUUGUCCCCAUUGCCCCCAAUGUCCCCAUUGCCCCCAUUGUCCCCAUUACCCCCAUUG
rnacentral:lncRNA from 1 species